AUGACAAGCAGUCAUCAAUCAAGCAAGCAAAAUCACAUUGGUACAACAGCUAGCAUCGUUCAGCAUAUAACACCUACUAAUUUUAUUUUAUUUGUUUGCAUCGAGUCAGCACCUACUAGAUGGGAUGGAAAUGCAUCUUCUAUAUUAGUUGUGGAGCAUGCGUGUAUUAUUAGCAAUGAAAGCACUGGUAUUUUUCAUCAGCGCAAGGCGAGGCGAAGAGCAGCUCCUCGCUACGUGCACAAGAGCUUGAUGAUCCUCCUGCCCCACAUCCACUUCAGCAGGAUCUUCAUGUGGGUCUUGCUGUUCAGGCCGUCGAUCACAGCAUCCUGUCGCCAUGGUCAGAUAUUUUUCAUCAGCGCAAAGCAUAUAAGCACUGGGCAAGCAUGUCCUAAACCGCCACGGUGCCACUGUGAGAUCUUUCAACUACUAGAUGCCAGAAUGUAA
rnacentral:rRNA from 1 species